UACAGAGGGGGCAAGCGUUGUUCGGAAUUACUGGGCGUAAAGAGCGUGUAGGCGGCCAGGUAGGUCGGUUGUGAAAACUGGAGGCUCAACCUUCAGAGGUCGACCGAAACCAUCUGGCUAGAGUCCGGGAGAGGAGAGUGGAAUUCCUGGUGUAGCGGUGAAAUGCGCAGAUAUCAGGAAGAACACCCGUGGCGAAAGCGGCUCUCUGGAACGGUACUGACGCUGAGACGCGAAAGCGUGGGGAGCGAACAGG
rnacentral:rRNA from 1 species